CAAAUGUCUUGUUCUUUCUAUGAACAUAAAAAGCCAAAAUAGGUGAAUGAGCCUAGACUUUUCACAGGAAAGCUAGAAAUAGUGGCAUUUGUCCAAUCUAUGUGUGACCACAGGGGCGCUGUAGACAAACGGAAAGGAGCGGUAACUUCCGGGUCAUUGCCAUGGCACUUGCCAGGUCAGUUCAUCUUUAGCCAAGCAGCAGAGACGAGAUGAACCUGUGGCUGCGGUUGCUUGGUUGACUCUGCAGAUGAUGAUGCAGUGCCUCCUUUAUGAAAGAUUUCUGAGGACUUCCCCACUUCUUCCUACUUGCGGGGAAGAUAAUAAGGAGAAAAGAUCAAGGAACCAGAAAGCUUCUAGAGGCAUGAGAUGUCGGAUUCCAAUAAAGCACUCAGAAGGAGCUGAUCUUACCGUUUUGGUUUGGGUAGUAGAGCGAGACAUCUCAGUGCUUUCAGUUUCUACCCCUUUCCGCAUCCCACUAAACCACUUUUUAUAUUCCAUUCGAACCUGGAAAUUUGAGUGGAGAGGUCCGUGUUACAUCCAGAGCUUGGUUUGGGAGAAAGGAUCCUAAAAUGGGAGGCUAAAGAUAAAGACACCAAGCCCUACUCUCUAGUUUUCCAUAUAAUCUUGGCCAUGCCCAUGUUGAUUCAUUUUAUUUAAACUCA
rnacentral:lncRNA from 1 species